rnacentral:piRNA from 1 species
UGGGACUUGUUAGUUCUGUUGAGCAAUGGG